rnacentral:lncRNA from 1 species
AAGAGUGCUUUCACUCUCAUCUUUUGUUGUGAUUAUUAGUUAUUACUCCCUCUUUAGUUCAAGUGAAGAAUGGUGGGAGUACUGCAAUGUUGGUGCUCUAUGUACAGAUUUCUUAUUUGACAAAAAUGUGAACAAAAUUUUGGGAGGUGGGUUGAGUGAGUGGCCUUGUAUAUAUAUUUUGUUGUGUUUGCCUUAACUAUAUGGGUAACCUAUACAUUUGAAUAUAGUUUUGUUACUUGUUUGCUGCAUCUCUUCUAUAUAUGAAACCUAAUUGAUUUUCAAGUCCAAUGAGACUGAAUUGAGGCGAUUCAAACUAAAUAUCAACUGUAUUAAUCAAAGGAAGAUGUUAACUACUGAUCGUUAUGUUAUGUUACUUGUCAGGCAUGCAAAUAGCAGCCUUCAUAAUUGUGACUAUUCCAAUUACUAUUUUGAAUG